UACGUAGGGUCCGAGCGUUGUCCGGAAUUAUUGGGCGUACAGGGCUCGUAGGCGGUCUGUUGCGUCGGGAGUGAAAACUUACAGCUUAACUGUGAGCGUGCUUCCGAUACGGGCAGACUUGAGGUAUUCAGGGGAGAACGGAAUUCCUGGUGUAGCGGUGAAAUGCGCAGAUAUCAGGAGGAACACCGAUUGCGAAGGCAGCUCGCUGGAACGUAACUGACGCUGAGACGCGAAAGCGUGGGGAGCAAACAGG
rnacentral:rRNA from 1 species